UUACUUAUAAAACAUAAGGAUUUACCAUUUAAACUCAUUUUUCUAUAAAAUCACAAAAAUGAAUAAAAACUACUUUAGAUAAUUAAGACGAUAAUAAGGUUAUUCACUAUAUCAGGAGUUGAAGUACUCCUAGUCUCGGUCUUCGGGUACAAUCUCCUUACCCUUAUUGGAAGUUUCACCACCUAAACAUAAUGCACAAUAAGCAAUUUAUUAUAUUUGUACUAAACCGUUACAAAACUAAUUUAGGCUCUAUAUGAAUGCAUGAAAUGGGAUGCGAAAUGUUCGGAUUAUUAUCUAAAUAAUUGUGUUCUACGUAGCUUCAAUUAUUUAUCGAAAUAAAAUGGUAUUGGCCUAAUUCGAUCUAUACACUGGUUAAUUGGCCAAUACAUCCAAUUCAACUCCAAUUAACUUGAUUUCACUUCCAACACUCCAAGUCAUCAAUUACAAGUUAAAUAAUAUUUAAUAUCACAAGAAUCCAUCAUCAAUAUCUUCCUUGUAAAAUUCGGCCAUUGAAGGUUUAGUGUAGAACAUGUAAUUUUCAUGCUUGAUUUUUACACCUUACAUCAUAAAACAACUAAAAACACCUAAAUAGCAUGAAAUUCAUCAAAGUCCAUUAUCCAAUUUCUCUCUUGAAAAUUUCAGCCAAGGAGUGUGGGUGAAGGGCAUGAAAUUUCUUGCUUGUUUUUCAUGCUAAACAUCACCAAACAACUAAAAACACUAAGAUACCUUGAAAUCUAACCAAAUAAAUCAUCAAAUCUUCUCUCCCUAAAUUCGGUCAGCCAUGAAUCCUUCAUGAGAUCUUGAAUUUUAACCAUGGUAAUUGAAAAAGAAUGCAUAGGAAAGGUAGAUCACAAGCUAGAAUUUAGAAAUUUUACCUUUACUUGCUUAAUUCCUUGAAAUCCAAUGAAUUUUCUCUUGAUUUUCUUCUCUAGGGUUUGUUCUAUGCUUUUUCCCUUUUG
rnacentral:lncRNA from 1 species